CAACGGUAACCUUAACCUCACAUUUUUAAAGCCGUGAGUGGAUGUGAUGUGUUCAUCUUGCAAUUUCUGUGAUAUCUAUCCGUUGAAUGAUUGAAAGGUGCAGUGUGGAACAUCAAGUCUACUUCCAGUGCCCCAAAUGAAGAAAUCCAUAUAAUAAUCCAAAAUUGGUUCUGAUUCUCCAAAGACCGUGAUGGAGGUCGAGAAAAACGGAGAAAUGAUCCAGCACCCAAUCACAUGUAACUAGGCCAAGUGCCAAUAAGUAAAUUUUUAGAGAAUCUCAAACAUCCAUAAUCUUUUUUGUAAUAAUUUUACAAUAUACAGACUUUUCAUGCAUUUAA